rnacentral:rRNA from 1 species
CAGUCGCCGCGGGAAUACAGAGGGUGCGAGCGUUAAUCGGAUUUACUGGGCGUAAAGCGUGCGUAGGCGGCUUUUUAAGUCGGAUGUGAAAUCCCUGAGCUUAACUUAGGAAUUGCAUUCGAUACUGGGAAGCUUGAGUAUGGGAGAGGAUGGUAGAAUUCCAGGUGUAGCGGUGAAAUGCGUAGAGAUCUGGAGGAAUACCGAUGGCGAAGGCAGCCAUCUGGCCUAAUACUGACGCUGAGGUACGAAAGCAUGGGGAGCAAACAGGAUUAGAUACCCCUGUAGUCCCUGUCUCUUAUAA